UAUAAUUGAAUUACCCUCAUAUAUGUUCGAUAAUAUGGAUCGAAUGUUUCUACCAAGUUGCCGUAAAUAACUUGACUAUGAAGGUAGAUGA
rnacentral:ncRNA from 1 species